ensembl:lncRNA LINC02028 long intergenic non-protein coding RNA 2028
GGCUCAGCCUCGCGGCGGGGGAAACCCGAGCUCCCAACAAAACGGUUCCAUCUUUGGCUAGGCCUUUGGUAUUUCAAGGCGCUGCCGGUGGGGAGAGAUGCCGCGUGCCUGAGAGGCUCUGGGAGAUGUUAUGUGGUCAACAGGGACUGAGGCUCUUUAAGCCCUUAAAUCUCUAAGGGCUAAAUCUCCUUCCUGAUAUUCGCCCCCAAACCGGCACCAAAGAAGGCCCAGAGAGGUUUAACAACUUCCUCAGAAUCACACAGCUUCCAAAUGGUUGGGUUGGGUUUACAUUUAGGCGGUCUUGCUCCAGAGCCAGUGCUCCUAACCUUUGCAAGCCACGAACCUCAAGAAAGUGGAGAAGGAAACGCUGGGAAAUCUGGAAGUCAGACAUGAGAGCUAAUGCUGGCAGCUGUUGGGAUGUCCUCUUCCAGGAAUGGUGAUGAGUUUCCCUGGAUCCAGCCCUGGCUUGGCUGAGGUCCUUGGAACAGGAGAAAGGGUUGGAAAACAAAGAUCACUUUUCUCUGGCCAAAUGGAAUCACCCAACAAAGUACCUUCCUGAUGGGCCAGCUAUUUCAGAUGAUGAAGGUUUAAGAAGCAGCAUCAUCAGCGAACUGUGUUUUGAAGAUUUGAGGGAAGGGCUGACCUCAGGAUUUUAUACUAGGAAGGCCCUAUCUCAAGUGGCUCUGGUCCAUGCAAACAGAUGGAAACGGGUGUGGGGAAGCACAGGCCUCCUACUCAUGUUAAGAGAGCUGCUCAGAGGCAGGAAUCCAGAACCAGGAAUGUCCCCAGUGGCUGCCCAAGGUACAAGUGGCAGGCAGCGGGGAGAAUGGCAUGUGAAGUCAUUUGUAACCUGGCCCCAGCUUGGUUUCCAAGUCUCAGAGGAGAUUAUGGAUAUGGUAGUGCCUGGCUCAGUGCUUAAAAUCCAUUCUCCUGCUAUUUCCCUCACCUACACUCAGCCCCACAAGCCGAGAUGUUUGCUGGACAUUUCAGGCACUGCCACCCAGUUCUGUCUACCUUACCUGCUAACACCUGUUGACCAUCCUUCAUGUGAAGGCUUCCCCAAAUACUUCCCAAUCAAAACACUAAAAGGCAGACCUGAAAUUAAUAAAAAUGUUAAUUAAAUCUGUACAACAGAAA